rnacentral:lncRNA from 10 species
GUCUUAGCAGACAGCAUUGUUCAUGGUGAAAAUAACCCUGAUUGGUAAAUUGCAUCUGACUGGGGGUACUAUGAAUGAACAACCUAUAGCAUUUGAGAGGCCAUAGAUUUGGACUCGUGAGGGCUGUGCCUUUGAACCUGCACCUGAUGCCUCUUGGGAGAAUUCUGGGAUUUAACUCCACGACUCCAGUUCUGCUGCAAAUCCUCCUGCAAGACAUGGUGAUGUUUUCAUACUGCCACUGGACAUAUGCAUGUAUGGAUUUGCCUCCAUUUCCAGGAUUGAAGAAGCAUGGACCACUGGCCAGAUCUUCCUGAACCGUUCCCAAGACUCUGUGUCACCUCCGCCUCCUGCCUGGACACCCUUACAGCCAAUCUUUGUAUGUCUUCUCUGGUGUUUAUGUCACUGUGGGAGACCCAAGAUUCUCAGGUCACACACCUCAUCCUUCCUUCUCCAAUCCUGAUUUGGCCCUGCACCCUGAUCUGUCCCUAUCACCCAUUGCCAUAUCUCUCAUGAUGCUUAAUUCCUUGCAUGCACAGUAUUUAAAUUAUCCUAGCACUUUCUGCUUGGCAGAAAUCACAGCCCUAAUUCCACUCCACUCUGCUGAACCAACACCUGGUGCAGUUGGAUGUACUGCGCCUGUAGAAAAAACCCAGAACGAGGAUGGGGGGGCAUCUCCAUUUAACUUUAUGACCAUUGCUCUGAAGUGUGCCUUUUCAGUCGCCCUGCUUGCAGGAGAGAUUUCAUUUUCACCCGGAGACAUUUAUUUUUUGCCUUCCUUUCUCCCUAAAGUCUCCAGUAGUGCCAUCUGCAGGCCACAGGUCCCUGCUGUGCAGAUGGUCCACACAAGGGCAGCUGGGGGGCAGCUGUAAGCCGAUCCCAUGCCACCUGCAUCAGCCAAAAGGAAGGGGCUCUCUCAUUCAACAGACACAAAGAACACUUACCAACACCACCAAUUCCCAAAUGCGUACCUGCAGCCUGAACCCUGUUCUGAAAUGUGGAUUUGAGGGUCCAGCAGCCCACUCAGCUCACGCAAUAGGACCCGAACCUCACAUGCAUAUAAACAAGUUCCUAAUAUUUCUCCUCAAACUCAUACCUCUGCAAUCUUUCCAUCUCAUGAAUGCAGCGUUAUCCUUCCUAAAAGCCUUGGGGGCACUCCUGACCCUCUGCUCUCUCAACCCACAUCCAACACAUCAGCAAUUUCUGUUCGCUAUACCUUCAAAAUAUAAGUAGAAUCUGAUCAGUCGUGUUUCAUGGCCAAUGUGCUCAUCCAAGCCACCAUUUUCUCAGGCUGGACUGUUACCAUCGUCUUCUAAUUGGUGUGCUUGCUUCCAUCUUUCCAACAUCCUCCCUGGCUAACACCCCAGAGCCAAAGAGACUCCAUUACAACCUAAGUCACAUAACUCUUCUGCUCAGAUGAUGCCGAUGGCUUUCCAGCUCUCUCGAAGUAACAGCUGCAAGCAUAUUUACAGUGCCCUCAGGGUCCCUUCGUGGCUGCCACGCUGACAUGACCUUAGGGACCUGGUGUCUAGUGUCACUCUCCUUGUUCACAAGCCAAGAGCUCCAGCUCCACCUGUCUCCACACCGUGCCCUGAAAUACACAGAUGUGCUGCACCCUGAGGCUUCUGCACUAGGCCCUCCACCUCGG